rnacentral:rRNA from 1 species
UGGGUCCUACGGGGGGCAGCAGUGGGGAAUAUUGCACAAUGGGGGAAACCCUGAUGCAGCGACGCCGCGUGAGUGAAGAAGUAUUUCGGUAUGUAAAGCUCUAUCAGCAGGGAAGAAAAUGACGGUACCUGACUGAGAAGCCCCGGCUAACUACGUGCCAGCAGCCGCGGUAAUACGUAGGGGGCAAGCGUUAUCCGGAUUUAUUGGGUUUAAAGGGUGCGUAGGCGGAAUGCCAAGUCAGCGGUAAAAUCGCGGGGCUCAACCUCGCUACGCCGUUGAAACUGGCGUUCUUGAGUGGCCGAGAA